rnacentral:lncRNA from 1 species
UCAGUUAUCUACCCUGAAGGAAGAUCCAGACAGCAGGAAUUAAGGAAUCAGGGACACUCUGGCAUCCUAGGUACUUGGGUUGUUUCCCAUAUAUUCUUUUUAGACUAUAUACAUACACAUCUGUGGGCAGCAAUCUCUUCUGAUUCUCUUUUGGAAUCCCUCCCACCCCCCACAUACACACCUCUCUGGCCUUAAACAUUUCUUGCAACAAGGGGACAACCACUGCCCUUUCCUGCCCCGCCCCCGCCCCCCACACACACCCGGUUAGGCACCAGUCGCCCCGCAGCCAUGGCCGCAGCCGGAAAAGAAUAGAGAGCUCGCUGUGCUGCAAUCCAAGCCGCUCAGCUCUGGGCGAAGAAGACAUCGUGGGAGCUAAGCAGUGGCACAGGAUAGGGCUGUUCCCUGACCAAUAAAGCAUUUAUUCAGCUGAGCAAACGUUUUCGGAGCACCCAGCAUGGCACUGCUAGGUGCUGCUGUUCGGUCCCAGGAAAAUAAAGGGAGAUGGCAGUCCGCAAGGCGAAUGUGAGAGGAGACCUGUACGGAAGCCAUCGACAAGAGUUUCACACUACACGUUUUGGGGUCGUGUUUUUCCAAGCAAACCCGAGUGAUCUUUAGGGAAAGCCAAAUACACUAGACGAAAACAUCCUGUUAUGAGAGGCAGGGACGGUGGAAGCACAGCUAUCUGAGAGUGCGUUAAUCAGUCAGGAUAGGGGCUUGGAAGCCCAGGGCUUGAAUUUGGUGAAUUCGUGCAAUUUGGAGCAUUUCGACUUAGUAUUGAUCCCUAAACUCAAUUUUGAAAACAGCCUCCAUUGCAGAAGUGUGGGUUGUGUUAUCCCAGUAUUUGCAUGCAUCGAUUGGACUAAAAUAAAAUGCAUCAUACUCUCUGCAAAGAAGGAAGAGGCAGGGACAAUCACAAGAGGAAUAGCAGAAAGUGCAUAGUUAAUAUGGGUUGUACGCGAAUCCGUGAAACAAGUGCCUUAAACCCAGGGGGAUUUCACGUAAUAGCUAAUUUGGUGAGAGCUAGCGCGCAAGCAAGCAGAGGGCCAUCUUAGAAGGGAAGGAAGAUAGCUGAAUAUAGGCUUUUCCUACUGGAAUUAACAUUUCCUUGUGAUUUGCAUUAGCUAAUGUCUAAACCCUCACAUGCAGCCCACCUAACCCAGGUUUUCUUCUACGCUUGUAGGCUCAGUAAGGAAUUGUCUUCCUUCUAACUGCACUGCCAGAGCUCAGGGGCUGCGGAGAGGCGGCUGCUGCUUUUCCCCCGACCCACUGGGUCCUAAGUGCCGGGAAAGGCCGCAGGGCAGAUGCUGGGGAGGCGCUCUCCGCUUGUCCUCUCCCGGCCUGCAGGACCCCAACGGGUUCUCUCCUCAAAGUUAAUCCGAGGAAUCCAGCGCCUGCCUGGUUUUGCCCAUACCCUUCUCAGGUCCCAACUGGGAGGAAAGGGAACUGGAGGAGAUGGGAAAAGGAGAUAGGAAUAUUUUAUCUUAAAGAAGACAUUCUUUUUCCUUGUUCAACACACAAAACCAAAACCCCUUCCUCUUAUUUCUCCCGUCUUCCGAUUCCAUUUUAGUUUCUAAUGGAGACUGUGUGUGUGUGUGUGUGUGUGUGUGUGUGUGUGUGUGUGUGUGUGUGUAAGAGGGAGAGAGAGGGAGAAAAAGAGAGGGCGAGAGGGGGAAAAGAAACAGGGGGUUAGAGAAAGAAGAGAGAGAUGGAGAUCCCUUUAAACAAAAGACAAGAGGCCUGAGCUGGGGCCUGGAGCUGUCCCCGGAGCCUGCUCUGCCCCGCAGACCCUGCGGUCUCCAGGCCCGGUAGGCUUUUUCAGGUUCCGCAGGCCUGGCCGAACCGGCCAGAUCCCGCGUUCCAAGCGUCUGGAGAACUGGAGACAAAGCCCAAGAUCCAAUCCCACCGCAGAGCGGCUCAAGCCGGCGCCCGGGACCCGCGGGCCUAGGCGCGACCCCCAGCAGCCUGUGACCGAAGAGGGGAGCCCGGGACCCCUCCGCCUCUCCGCAGCCCUCUCGGGCGGGGUCCCCCAGGCCCGCCCGGUUCCCCCUGCCGCACUCAGCCAGCUGCUUUUGGAGGCCUGCGAGUUCCAAACACGCCUUCCCAUUAAUUAAAACCUGGAAAGCCUGGCCACUUUCUUCUCAGGCCGAGGCAGCAUCUCCAGAGGUCCCCGCGGCACUCUCGGCCGGCAACGGCUCCCGCGCGGGGCCUUGGAGGCCGAGCGGCCAUUUACUGCCCUGUGAUUGCGCCGAGGACCAGGUUAGCUCAUAAAGCCUUUCACACUCAACAAUGGGGAUUUUCUCAACAAUUAACAAGAAACAACAUAAUAAAGCCAUUUACAAAGACCUUGCUAUUUACUAUAAAUUAGGCACUCUUUAAGAGACCAGUGCGUAAUUUCAC